rnacentral:sRNA from 1 species
CUGCAACAUCUGUCACCAUAUUGAUUGCCAAGGUUGACGUGGCUGCCAACCUGGCUGGCUAUGCAGGUGUAC